rnacentral:rRNA from 1 species
GUAGGUGGCGAGCGUUGUCCGGAAUUAUUGGGCGUAAAGCGCGCGCAGGCGGUUCUUUAAGUCUGAUGUGAAAGCCCACGGCUCAACCGUGGAGGGUCAUUGGAAACUGGAGAACUUGAGUACAGAAGAGGAAAGCGGAAUUCCACGUGUAGCGGUGAAAUGCGUAGAGAUGUGGAGGAACACCAGUGGCGAAGGCGGCUUUCUGGUCUGUAACUGACGCUGAGGCGCGAAAGCGUGGGGAGCAACAGGAUUAGAUACCUGUAGUCCACGCCGUAAACGAUGAGUGCUAAGUGUUAGGGGGUUUACCGGUCCCCUUACGUGCUGCAGCUAACGCAUUAAGCACUCCGCCUGGGAGUACGGCCGCAGGCUG